rnacentral:rRNA from 1 species
UACGUAGGGUGCAAGCGUUGUCCGGAAUUAUUGGGCGUAAAGAGCUCGUAGGCGGUUUGUCGCGUCUGCUGUGAAAACCUAGGGCUUAACCCCGGGCCUGCAGCCGAUACGGGCAAACUAGAAUUCGGUAGGGGAGACUGGAAUUCCUGGUGUAGCGGUGAAAUGCGCAGAUAUCAGGAGGAACACCGGUGGCGAAGGCGGGUCUCUGGGCCGAUAUUGACGCUGAGGAGCGAAAGCGUGGGGAGCAAACAGG